GAGUUUGAUCAUGGCUCAGGAUGAACGCUGGCGGCGUGCUUAACACAUGCAAGUCGAACGAACCUUCGGGUUAGUGGCGGACGGGUGAGUAACGCGUGGGAAUCUGCCCUCAGGAGGGGGAUAACGGUUGGAAACGACCGCUAAUACCCCAUAUGCCGAGAGGUGAAAUGAAUUUCGCCUGAGGAUGAGCCCGCGUCUGAUUAGCUUGUUGGUGAGGUAAUGGCUCACCAAGGCAUCGAUCAGUAGCUGGUCUGAGAGGAUGAUCAGCCACACUGGGACUGAGACACGGCCCAGACUCCUACGGGAGGCAGCAGUGGGGAAUUUUCCGCAAUGGGCGAAAGCCUGACGGAGCAACGCCGCGUGAGGGACGAAGGCCUCUGGGCUGUAAACCUCUUUUCUCAAGGAAGAAGAUAUGACGGUACUUGAGGAAUAAGCCACGGCUAAUUCCGUGCCAGCAGCCGCGGUAAUACGGGAGUGGCAAGCGUUAUCCGGAAUUAUUGGGCGUAAAGCGUCCGCAGGCGGCCUUUCAAGUCUGCUGUUAAAACGUGGAGCUUAACUCCAUCAUGGCAGUGGAAACUGAUUGGCUUGAGUAUGGUAGGGGCAGAGGGAAUUCCCGGUGUAGCGGUGAAAUGCGUAGAUAUCGGGAAGAACACCAGUGGCGAAGGCGCUCUGCUGGGCCAUUACUGACGCUCAUGGACGAAAGCCAGGGGAGCGAAAGGGAUUAGAUACCCCUGUAGUCCUGGCCGUAAACGAUGAACACUAGGUGUCGGGGGAAUCGACCCCUUCGGUGUCGUAGCUAACGCGUUAAGUGUUCCGCCUGGGGAGUACGCACGCAAGUGUGAAACUCAAAGGAAUUGACGGGGGCCCGCACAAGCGGUGGAGUAUGUGGUUUAAUUCGAUGCAACGCGAAGAACCUUACCAGGGCUUGACAUCCUGCGAACCUUUAAGAAAUUAGAGGGUGCCUUCGGGAACGCAGUGACAGGUGGUGCAUGGCUGUCGUCAGCUCGUGUCGUGAGAUGUUGGGUUAAGUCCCGCAACGAGCGCAACCCACGUUUUUAGUUGCCAGCAUUUAGUUGGGCACUCUAGAAAGACCGCCGGUGAUAAACCGGAGGAAGGUGUGGAUGACGUCAAGUCAUCAUGCCCCUUACGUCCUGGGCUACACACGUACUACAAUGCUACGGACAAAGGGCAGCAAACUCGCGAGAGCUAGCAAAUCCCAUAAACCGUGGCUCAGUUCAGAUCGUAGGCUGCAACUCGCCUACGUGAAGUAGGAAUCGCUAGUAAUCGCAGGUCAGCAUACUGCGGUGAAUACGUUCCCGGGCCUUGUACACACCGCCCGUCACACCAUGGAAGUUGGCCAUGCCCGAAGUCGUUACUUUAACCCUUGUGGAGAAGGACGCCGAAGGUGGGGCUGAUGACUGGGGUGAAGUCGUAACAAGGUAACC
rnacentral:rRNA from 1 species